rnacentral:rRNA from 1 species
UGGGGAAUAUUGGUCAAUGGACGCAAGUCUGAACCAGCCAUGCCGCGUGCAGGAUGACGGCUCUAUGAGUUGUAAACUGCUUUUAUACGAGAAUAAGGGUAGAUACGUGUAUUUAUUUGAAUGUAUCGUAUGAAUAAGGAUCGGCUAACUACGUGCCAGCAGCCGCGGUAAUACGUAGGGAGCGAGCGUUGUCCGGAAUUAUUGGGUUUAAAGGGAGCGUAGGCGGGACUGCAAGUCAGAUGUGAAAAUUAUGGGCUCAACCCAUAACCUGCAUUUGAAACUGUGGUUCUUGAGUGUCGGAGAGGUAAUCGGAAUUCCGUGUGUAGCGGUGAAAUGCGUAGAUAUACGGAGGAACACCAGUGGCGAAGGCGGAUUACUGGACGAUAACUGACGCUGAGGCGCGAAAGCGUGGGGAGCAAACA